AUUGCUUCUCAGCCUUUUGGCUAAGAUCAAGUGUAGAAAUCUGUUUAUAAUUGAAUUCUAUGUAGAUAUAUUCACUGGUCCUUUUGAAUAUAUUACAAUAAUACAUGGUCAGGGUACAAUAAUUAUUCACUUUGGUUGAUCUUACUAUAAGUUUGAGGUCUGAAGUCCACUUCAUCCUUAAUACUCAGGGUGCAUA